rnacentral:tRNA from 5 species
GGUCGCAUGGUCUAGCUGGUUAGGACGCCUGCCUGUCACGCAGGAGAUCGCGGGUUCGAUCCCCGCUGUGACCG